UACGGGGGGAGCAAGCGUUGUUCGGAUUUACUGGGCGUAAAGGGCGCGUAGGCGGUCGUGACAAGUCACUUGUGAAAUCUCCGGGCUUAACUCGGAACGGUCAAGUGAUACUGUCGGACUAGAGUACAGAAGGGGCAACUGGAAUUCUCGGUGUAGCGGUGAAAUGCGCAGAUAUCAGGAAGAACACCCGUGGCUAAGGCGGCUCUCUAGUACGGUACUGACGCUGAGACGCGAAAGCGUGGGGAGCGAACAGG
rnacentral:rRNA from 1 species